rnacentral:lncRNA from 1 species
AAGAUAAUCCUGCGCCAAUUCAUCAAAUACAUCAAUAGAAAAACAAGAAUGAUCAUCUUUAGGAAAUUUAAUAGCUUCGGAAAUGUUAAAAUCAAUAAUCUCCCCAUCAAAUUCCAUUGUUAACGUCCCCUUGAACACAUCUAUCUUGGUGCGUGUUGUUUUCAUGAAGGGCCUCCCAAGUAGGAUCGGCAAUGGGGUAACAUUGGGUGAAUCCUCCAUCUUUAAAACAUAGAAAUCUGCUGGGAAUAUCAAGUUAUCUACCUACACCAAAACAUCUUCCAAAACUCCUUACGGAUAUGCAUUAGAACGAUCGGCUAAUUGAAUUAUGACACCAUCAUUUUUAAGCUCUCCUAAGUUCAUAGAUGCAUAAAUUGAGUAUGGCAUGACAUUAAUUGAAGCUCCUAAGUCUAACAGAGCAUGUUCAAACUUAAUAUUACCAAUAACACAAGGAAUUAUAAAACUACCCGGAUCUUUGCAUUUAUAGGGUAAUUUCCUUUGCAAAACAACGGAAAAUUCUCACUUACUUGGACAACCUCUUUGUUUGAAAUUCUCCUCCUUGUUGUACAAAGCUCUUUCAAAAACUUAGCAUACCUUGGAACUUGCUUUAUUGCAUCAAGGAGAGGUACAUUGACUUGCACUCUCCAAAAUGUCUUUCUCGUUCUCUUCCUUCUUUGUUUGCCUAAACCUGCUAGGAAAGGGCGCAUUUAGUGGAAUAGAACUAGAAAAAUUCAAAUUAGGACUUACCUUGGUCGAAUUGGAUGGUUUGGAAUUGGAAGAUGGCUGCGGCAAGGGUUGCUCCACCCUUGCCAUGGGUUUGGCUUGUUCCUCAUCCUCAAUCAGCAACUUUUCAUCCUCUUUUUUACUUGAUUUGGAUGGUUAUGGGUCAAUUCCAACUUGCUUGCCACUCCUCAACGUGAAUUUGUUGGGGCAGAUUGUGUUUGGGAUUGAUUUGGUGCGAAUGGCCUUUGAUAAAAGCCCGAAGGUUGCUGCCUAAAUCCACUUUGUUGUUAAGGUUGUUGAGGCUCUCUCCACUUGAAGUUUGGGUGAUCUUUCCAGCCUGGAUUAUAAGUGUUGGAGUAUAGAUCGUUGCGUGGCUGAUUUUGGCUCCCAAAACC